rnacentral:rRNA from 1 species
CAACAGGGAUUGCCCUAGUAACGGCGAGUGAAGCGGCAACAGCUCAAAUUUGAAAUCUGGCCCUCGGGUCCGAGUUGUAAUUUGUAGAGGAUGCUUUUGGCGCGGUGCCUUCCGAGUUCCCUGGAACGGGACGCCUUAGAGGGUGAGAGCCCCGUACGGUUGGACACCAAGCCUCUGUAAAGCUCCUUCGACGAGUCGAGUAGUUUGGGAAUGCUGCUCUAAAUGGGAGGUAAAUUUCUUCUAAAGCUAAAUAUUGGCCAGAGACCGAUAGCGCACAAGUAGAGUGAUCGAAAGAUGAAAAGCACUUUGAAAAGAGGGUUAAAUAGCACGUGAAAUUGUUGAAAGGGAAGCGUUUGCGACCAGACCUUUUCCUAGCGGAUCAUCCGGUGUUCUUCACCGGUGCACUUCGCUAGGUUGAGGCCAGCAUCGGUUUUCGUAGGGGGAUAAAAGCCCUGGGAACGUAGCUCCUCCGGGAGUGUUAUAGCCCUCUGCAUAAUACCCUUACGGGGACCGAGGACCGCGCUUUUAGCAAGGAUGCUGGCGUAAUGGUCGUCAACGACCCGUCUUGAAACACGGACCAAGGAGUCGAACAUUUGUGCGAGUGUUUGGGUGUUAAACCCUCACGCGUAAUGAAAGUGAACGGAGGUGAGAGCCCUUACGGGUGCAUCAUCGACCGAUCCUGAUGUCUUCGGAUGGAUUUGAGUAAGAGCAUAACUGUUCGGACCCGAAAGAUGGUGAACUAUGCGUGGAUAGGGUGAAGCCAGAGGAAACUCUGGUGGAGGCUCGCAGCGGUUCUGACGUGCAAAUCGAUCGUCAAAUCUGCGCAUGGGGGCGAAAGACU